ensembl:lncRNA
GAAGAAAAUGAAGGUCAUAGUCACAGGAAGCCAAGUCUCUGAUGAUUUUGUGAAGCUGCGUACAACCCCAGGCUGUUUCCCUCUCAGACCUUUUUCUUUGUCAAAGAAUAAAGGCUUGGAGUCUUUAUUCUUGGGAUCUCUCUGACUGUCAGUCAAAUAUAGUUCCUCGCUGAUAUAGCAUCAUAAAAUGGUCCAUACGAGAAGGUCUCCAUCAGGGCGGGGGUGAAGGUCAUAAAACAAGCCCAGGCCUGGGGUCAGAAACCUUCUUUCUGAUCUUUGCUAUGCUGGUUAUGCCCUUACCAGCUUCAUGAAAGUAAGUCACGCACUUAACCUCUAUUUACUCAUCUCCCCAUUCAAAGAAAAAAAAUAAAACUUCCUCCCACAGAGUUGAGAAUAAGAAUUUCCUAGUUGGAUACCGUCUUAGAGCAGGUUCCCAGGGAGCAGAGAUUGGCAUUCUUAGGUGAGAGAUUUCAGGAGAAGGACGUAAGGGAGUUGUGGAAGUGUGUUAGAGCAGGGGAAGAGACAGACAUGAGUUCAGCUCAAAUCUAGCCUCAGCCUGAUCCCAGAGGGAGCUCUGGAGCUUGAAUAGGACCAAAGAAUUGUCCCACCUCAAGGCAAGGGGAUCAGGCAUUUAUACUCCAGUAUCAGUCAAUCACUGGUCCAGACCACCCCUGAGAGGUGAGGGGACCAUAAUCUCCCAAGCAUCUCUGAGUGAGGAGGCCCUCGUUGGCCGAGGACAAUUCUGGAUGAAGGAUGCAGCUGAGAUCCAAUAGCAGCCAAUGCUUCCAGCCACUGUGGGAUGGGUGUACUGGCACGGUGACGGGGAGCUGGGUGGUGCACCCCAGUGUCCACUGUAAGAACAGAACACUGAAAUACUAGAAUGUGGUAUGGAGGAAGCGUCUGACUGCUUCUCUAGAGAUGCUUAAAAAUAGAACCAAAUCAGCUAUCUGGCAGAGUCAAAGGACGUGGGCUUGCACGUCCUUUGAAGAGAUGUGUGGAUGAGGCACCUUCACAACAGAGUAUGGGGCUCUGCACUUCUGUUUUUCUGCAUCUUGGGAAUUCAGCUGCAAACCUGGCAGAAAUGAGAGUGUGUGGGACUCAAGAGCUCCAUCCUGAGAGUGCCCACGAAUAGUCCCAGGAGAGAGAUGAGCCAGGGAAAACUUUUCUCCUUAUUCCUAUUCUUCUUUCCCCUGUAAUAAGUGGCUGCCGUCAAAGGCAGUUCGGAAUAAUCAUUUAAAAAGCAAGGUCUACAGUCAACCCGCUGUCGAUUCUGCCCUUGUACUAAUUAGUUAAGUUCCCUAAGUCUCCCUUUCUCCAGCUGAAAAUAAGGACGAUACUUGUGGCAGAGGUGGCUGGCUGGCCAGCCAUCCACAGCCUAGGUGCGUGUCCACCUAGUGAGUGCCUACUUUCUCAGUCCCCCUUGUGGCCAUAUGUGACUUAUUCUCACCAAUGGAAUGUAGGUGGAAGUGAUUGUCUCCGAUCAGAGUGGUUAAGAAGCGGGUAAAUCCCCCACCAACAGUUUCCCCAACCAGCAGCUGAAGGUAGAGAAUUCUG